rnacentral:tRNA from 1 species
CAGGUAGCUCAGUCGGUAGAGCAGGGGACUGAAAAUCCCCGUGUCGGCGGUUCGAUUCCGUCCCUGA